GGGGGGGGGGGGGGGGUGGGGGGGGGGGGGGGGGCGGGGGGAGGGAGGGGGGGCGGGCUCGUGUGGGGUUAGCGGCGGGCGGGUGGGUGACGCGUGGAUGACCUACCUAUAAGACUGGGAUGAGUGCGGGGGACCGGGGCUAAUAGCGGGUACUAUAUUGAACAGCAUGGGUAAAUAGUGAAAGACGGGUUUGCUGUCGCUUAUAGAGGGACCCGCGCCGCCUUAGCUAGUUGGUAAGGUAACGGCUUACCAAGGCAACGAUGCGUAGCCGACCUGAGAGGGUGAUCGGCCACCCUGGAACUGAGACACGGUCCAGACUCCUACGGGAGGCAGCAGUAGGGAAUCUUCCGCAAUGGGCGAAAGCCUGACGGAGCAACGCCGCGUGAGUGAUGAAGGUCUUCGGAUCGUAAAACUCUGUUAUUAGGGAAGAACAAAUGUGUAAGUAACUAUGCACGUCUUGACGGUACCUAAUCAGAAAGCCACGGCUAACUACGU
rnacentral:rRNA from 1 species